AUUCAGAAUGUUGAAAAAGCUUAUAUAUGGUCGUAAUAGGGACGACCGUUUCUACCCGGAGCCGCAAACUCAGGACUAUAAGCAAUCAUGUACUUAUG
rfam:Oenococcus kitaharae DSM 17330 chromosome, whole genome shotgun sequence.